UUUGAUAAGACGGAGGAUGUCAGCUUCAUGAAGAACACCAAGUCUGUGAAAAUCCUGAUGGACAGCAGAUGCCCCGUCCACUGCCCCCAGGACCCAGACCUGCACGAGCAGCAGCCUUUCCCCCCCUAAGAUCGGCCACCUGAACUCCAAGCUCUUCCUGAACGAGGUGGCCAAGAAGGAGAAGCAGCUGCGGAAAAUGCUAGAAGGCCCCUUCAGCACGCCGGUGCCCUUCCUGCAGAGUGUCCCCCUGUACCCUUGCGGCGUGAGCAGCUCUGGGGCGGAAAAGCGCAAGCACUCAACGGCCUUCCCAGAGGCCAGUUUCCUAGAGACGUCGUCGGGCCCUGUGGGCGGCCAGUACGGGGCGGCGGGCACAGCCAGCGGUGAGGGCCAGUCUGGGCAGCCCCUGGGGCCCUGCAGCUCCACGCAGCACUUGGUGGCCCUGCCGGGCGGCGCCCAACCAGUGCACUCAAGCCCCGUGUUCCCCCCAUCGCAGUAUCCCAAUGGCUCCGCCGCCCAGCAGCCCAUGCUCCCCCAGUAUGGCGGCCGC
rnacentral:sRNA from 1 species